rnacentral:rRNA from 1 species
UACGUAGGGGGCGAGCGUUGUCCGGAUUUAUUGGGCGUAAAGAGCUCGUAGGCGGUUUGGCAAGUCGGGUGUGAAACCUCCAGGCUUAACCUGGAGACGCCACUCGAAACUGCCAUGGCUAGAGUCCGGUAGGGGAUCACGGAAUUCCUGGUGUAGCGGUGAAAUGCGCAGAUAUCAGGAGGAACACCAGUGGCGAAGGCGGUGAUCUGGGCCGGUACUGACGCUGAGGAGCGAAAGCGUGGGGAGCGAACAGG